rnacentral:rRNA from 1 species
GCAAGCGUUAUCCGGAUUUACUGGGUGUAAAGGGCGUGUCGGCGGGGACGCAAGUCAGAUGUGAAAACCACGGGCUCAACCUGUAACCUACAUUUCCAACUAUAUUUCUUUAUUACUAUANAAGCACACCAAAUUCCUANUNUANCNNUGAAAUGCGUAGAUUUUUUGGAAAACACCAGAGGNGAAGGAGGUAUGAUGGACAGCAAGNGANGNUGAGGCGCGAAAGAGUGGGGAGCCCUCCAGGGANNNNNNNNNNNNNNNNNNAANNNNNGGGCCCAUGAAGAAAGGGGGGGACUGACCCCCUCCGUGCCGCAGUUAACACAAUAAGUAUCCCACCUGGGGAGUACGAUCGCAAGGUUGAAACUCAAAGGAAUUGACGGGGGCCCGCACAAGCGGUGGAGUAUGUGGUUUAAUUCGAAGCAACGCGAAGAACCUUACCAGGGCUUGACAUCCCGGCGACCGCUGUAGAGAUACAGUUUUCCCUUCGGGGACGCCGGUGACAGGUGGUGCAUGGUUGUCGUCAGCUCGUGUCGUGAGAUGUUGGGUUAAGUCCCGCAACGAGCGCAACCCUUAUUGUUAGUUGCUACGCAAGAGCACUCUAGCGAGACUGCCGUUGACAAAACGGAGGAAGGUGGGGACGACGUCAAAUCAUCAUGCCCCUUAUGUCCUGGGCCACACACGUACUACAAUGGUGGUCAACAGAGGGAAGCAAUACCGCGAGGUGGAGCAAAUCCCUAAAAGCCAUCCCAGUUCGGAUCGCAGGCUGCAACCCGCCUGCGUGAAGUUGGAAUCGCUAGUAAU